UACAGAGGUCUCAAGCGUUGUUCGGAUCCAUUGGGCGUAAAGGGUGCGUAGGCGGCGCGGUAAGUCGGGUGUGAAAUCUCGGAGCUUAACUCCGAAACUGCAUUCGAUACUGCCGUGCUUGAGGACUGGAGAGGAGACUGGAAUUUACGGUGUAGCGGUGAAAUGCGUAGAUAUCGUAAGGAAGACCAGUGGCGAAGGCGGGUCUCUGGACAGUUCCUGACGCUGAGGCACGAAGGUCAGGGGAGCAAACGGG
rnacentral:rRNA from 1 species